GAGAUGAGACGGACACAAAGACCUCGUCGCCUGCUUGCAGCUCAAACAGGCCGCCUUGGUACACUGAGUGAAGGGCAUAUUCUGCGUCCGGAGCCCAGCAUUUGGUCCCCACUCCCUUCAGCAGCUGAAUCGGCCUCAGGCAUUUUUGACAUCGGGAUCUUAUGGAUGGAUGGGUCAUGAACAGUCAAUGGAGGGUACAAAAAGCAUGUGCAUCUCCCCGUUCCCUUUCUGUCUGGCAUCAUCCAAGAGUGAGUGUGUGAUGGAGUCUCUGUUGUUCUUGGCUCUCUCUCUCUCUCUCUCCAUUCAUCAGAAAGCCGAGCGCCUGCAGCCUUUAUAUCAUGACAUAAUCUUACCCAGGCCACAGCAGAGAUGGAUUUGACUUUUUCACCAUAAUUUCUGGUAAAUGAUCCUGAAAUCAAUUCCACAUCUCACAUAUGGAGCAGAUAAAGGGCUAUUUUACAAGCAUGUUCUUGUACAUGCAGCAUGUCAUACAAGAAAGACAGAAGGAAAAAGAGAACAAGACGGAUAGACCGAAAUCAUUUCAAUUGUCUUUAUAAAUAUUUUCAUUUUCCUGCUAUGCUGCUUUAUUUUAUUUACUCUGCUAUGUAAUAUUCUACUUUUCUUGAUGGAUGGAUGGAUGGACAGAUAGACAGAUUGCUAGGAUGUUGCUAUGAUGAUGUACUGUAAGAUGGUUACUAGGGUGUUUGGGGUGGUUGCUAGGACAAAAAGAGAGACCGAUAGCUCCUGAUGGAAUCCAGUUGGGCUUUCUGUUAUAACUGAUCAAAAAGGAUCAUAACUUUCAAAAAAAAUGUGACACCAAAAGUAAUUUAAAAAUAUCUUUCAAAAUUUUUAAACUCCUUUCUGGACAAAUGUUCUGUAAGGACUGUAAGAAUCAUUUAAGAAUCUAAAACUCCCGUAGGACUUUUGGUUUAUCCAGUAAGAUCUUAUGGGAUUUUUAGUUGAUCCCAAUAGGAUCCUUUUGGAUUGGUUCCCAUUUAUGACAGAAAUUACAAUAACACUCUUAAAAAUAAAGGUGCUUCAAAAGGUUCUUCAAGCGAUGCCAUAGAAGAACCAUUUUUGGUUCCACAAAGAACCAUUCAGUCAUCUCUUUCUUGCGUUUUUAUAAUCUGAAGAAACUUCCUUCACCACAAAUAACCUUUUGUGAAACAGAAAGGUUCUUCAGAUGAACUGCUAUGGCAUCGUGAAACAACUUUAUUUUUAAGAGUGAAGAAUCCAUCACACAGUCUUUUUUUUCCCUAGAGAGUCAGUGAGGUCUAGUUGAAGUCACUGCACAAUUUGUUUUCUGGAAAACACAACAUAGUUCAUUAGGUGGAGGCCAGAGAACAGACCCAUUCAAAGACCUCAACAAUAACAAUAAACACACCCGGCAUUAAACCUUUGGCCCCCUGCACUCGUGCGCCAGAAAAGACGAACGACCAAAGAAGAUUUCUCCUUCAUUCAAGGAGCAGGAAGCUGGUGAAUGCAUGCACACAGUCAUUAGCAUCCUCUCCAGCAAAGCUUAGUCAGGCGGCAAUCCAAUACUUUAAAACAGCUGUAAUUUCCAGAGUUUGCUCCGUCGCUGAGAUUCUGAAGCACAGCAUGUUCUCUUCCUCCAGGAGGAUUAUUAAUAAAUAAUUGUUGCUUUCCUUGGGGCAUAGAGCAUGCACGGCAAACAAUAAAUCUCAGAGCGCUAGACUUUGUUCAGUGUGACUCAGGUAAAUGGCUAAUAACCCACAGCAUACACACACUAUAUUUUACUGUACGCACACUCUGCCUGGAUAAAAUCAGUGCACGCCUGUUAUUGGCCUUUGAAUGAAUGGGGUGUGUGUGUAUGCUUACAAGUUGUUUCCUGCCAUUCUUGGCUGCUGUCUGAGGUUGACCCCAUUCCUCUAUACCUCAGCCCCCUUCAACAGAGCCCUCCACGUUCCACUACAGAGCACAACAGUCUGAUCUUAAGCAUUAUGAGAAUUCAUCUCUCUUUUUAUCUCUUUCUCUCCCCUUCUGUAAAAGUCUGCAUCUAUUAACCUGGGACGGCUGCUUCUAAGUUACAACUUAGUUUAUCUUAGCUGUAGCGGAAAUGAAAACUACAUUACAACCAAAAAAAUUUGAUCAUUGGACUGUUACACUUAAAUCAAAAGUUAGCCUUUGUAUGAACUAAAUAUUUAUGAAACCUUUUGACCAGGAGGAUGUUAUUCAGCUGGUCUGCCAGUAAUAUGACAGACUGAUUGGAUUACAUCAGUGAGAGCAUACUUUUUGUGACAUAUAUAUUGUUCUAUAGUUGGGGGUCAGUACACGUUUUUUUUUAAAUGUUCUUUGAAAGAAGACGUCUCAUGCUUAAGAUUUAUUUGAUCAAAAAUGUAGUAUAAAAAAAGAAGAAAUAUUGUGAAAUAUUAUUACAAUAUAGAACAAAUAUAUUGUUUUAAUAUAUUUUAAAAAGUAAUUUAUUCCUGUGAUGCAAAGCUUAAUUUUUAGCAGCCAUUACUUACAAUUGUCACACAGUACUCCAUAAAUCAUUCUAAUAUGCUGAUUUGGUACACAAAAGUAAAACAUUUCUUAUUAUUAUCAAGGCUGAAAAUGGUUGUGCAUGCUUAAUAUUUUUGCGGAAACGGUGAUACAGUUUUAUUUCAGAAUUUUUGA